GCGGCUUAAUAUGACUCAACACGGGAAAACUUACCAGGUCCGAACUUAUCGAGGUAAGACAGAUUGAGAGCUCUUUCUCAAAUUUAAGGGUAGUGUUGCCUGGCCGUUCUUAGUUCGUGGAAUGAUUUGUCUGGUUAAUUCCGAUAACGAACGCGACNNNNNNNNNNGCUGCAGACCAAAGGAGUGCCCUCAGGACUGCGCAGCAUCCUGCAGGAGUACUUCUCCGACCGUGAGCUGACGUAUGAUACCAGCUCCGGUCCGGUAACACGC
rnacentral:ncRNA from 2 species